AUUGAACGCUAGCGGGAUGCCUUACACAUGCAAGUCGAACGGUGUAGCUAACGGGUGAGUAGUGUAUCGGAACGUGCCCAGUAGCGGGGGAUCACUACGCGAAAGCGGAGCUAAUACCGCAUACUAUUGGAGCGGCCGAUAUCGGAUUAGCUAGUUGGUGGGGUAACGGCUCACCAAGGCGACGAUCCGUAGCUGGUUUGAGAGGAUGACCCGCCACACUGGGACUGAGACACGGCCCAGACUCCUACGGGAGGCAGCAGUAGGGAAUUUUGCACAAUGGGGGAAAUCCUGAUGCAGCCAUGCCGCGUGAGUGAUGAAGGUCUUCGGGUUGUAAAGCACUGUUGGCAGGAAAGCGGUACCUGCAGAAUAAGCACCGGCUAACUACGUGCCAGCAGCCGCGGUAAUAC
rnacentral:rRNA from 1 species